UGAAAUCCCCGGGCUCAACCUGGGAACUGCAUUCGAAACUGGCAGGCUAGAGUCUUGUAGAGGGGGGUAGAAUUCCAGGUGUAGCGGUGAAAUGCGUAGAGAUCUGGAGGAAUACCGGUGGCGAAGGCGGCCCCCUGGACAAAGACUGACGCUCAGGUGCGAAAGCGUGGGGAGCAAACAGGAUUAGAUACCCUGGUAGUCCACGCCGUAAACGAUGUCGAUUUGGAGGUUGUGCCCUUGAGGCGUGGCUUCCGGAGCUAACGCGUUAAAUCGACCGCCUGGGGAGUACGGCCGCAAGGUUAAAACUCAAAUGAAUUGACGGGGGCCCGCACAAGCGGUGGAGCAUGUGGUUUAAUUCGAUGCAACGCGAAGAACCUUACCUGGUCUUGACAUCCACAGAACUUUCCAGAGAUGGAUUGGUGCCUUCGGGAACUGUGAGACAGGUGCUGCAUGGCUGUCGUCAGCUCGUGUUGUGAAAUGUUGGGUUAAGUCCCGCAACGAGCGCAACCC
rnacentral:rRNA from 1 species